AAGUGCUUGCCACCAAGUCUGAUGACCUGA
rnacentral:piRNA from 1 species